AUCACUUCUUGGCCUUUUGGCUAAGAUCAAGUGUAUUAUUAUUAUUAUUAUUAUUAUUGGGGGGGGGAUAAAAAAAUAAAAAAUUGUCUGGUAGCACCUUAUAGACCAACUAAGUUUAUACCAGAACAAACUUAGUUGGUCUAUAAGAU